rnacentral:tRNA from 1 species
AAAUAUUAAAUAGAUUAACUAUGUCUGAUUACGGUUCAGGAAGAGGUAUAUUUU